UACAGAGGUCUCAAGCGUUGUUCGGAUUCAUUGGGCGUAAAGGGUGCGUAGGCGGCGCGGUAAGUCGGGUGUGAAAUCUUGGAGCUUAACUCCGAAACUGCAUUCGAUACUGCCGUGCUUGAGGACUGGAGAGGAGACUGGAAUUUACGGUGUAGCGGUGAAAUGCGUAGAUAUCAGGAGGAACACCGGUGGCGAAGGCGGGUCUCUGGGCCGAUAUUGACGCUGAGGAGCGAAAGCGUGGGGAGCAAACAGG
rnacentral:rRNA from 1 species